rnacentral:miRNA from 1 species
UGCCCCAGUAAGGCCACAAAU